AGUCAUACACGGUUUAUUAAU
rnacentral:miRNA from 1 species